rnacentral:pre_miRNA from 1 species
ACAAUAAUAUCGUCAGUCCAACGAGCAAUUUCUCCCGCUCGGUGGAAGAUCUUCUGUUUGUCGU